UUUUUACAAUGGAGAGUUUGAUCCUGGCUCAGGAUGAACGCUAGCGGCAGGCCUAAUACAUGCAAGUCGGACGGGAUUCCGGUGUAGCUUGCUACGCCG
rnacentral:rRNA from 1 species